AGAUUGAACGCUGGCGGCAUGCCUAACACAUGCAAGUCGAACGGGAGUAGCAAUACUCUAGUGGCGGACGGGUGAGGAAUACGUAGGAAUUUGCCCUUAAGUGGGGGAUAACCCGGGGAAACCCGGAUUAAUACCGCAUGACCUCGAAAGAGCAAAGUGGGGGAUCGCAAGACCUCACGCUUUUGGAGAAGCCUACGUCGGAUUAGCUAGUUGGUGAGGUAAUGGCUCACCAAGGCGACGAUCCGUAACUGGUCUGAGAGGAUGAUCAGUCACACCGGAACUGAGACACGGUCCGGACUCCUACGGGAGGCAGCAGUGGGGAAUAUUGGACAAUGGGCGCAAGCCUGAUCCAGCAAUGCGCGUGUGUGAAGAAGGCC
rnacentral:rRNA from 1 species